rnacentral:rRNA from 1 species
UACGUUCCCGGGCCUUGUACACACCGCCCGUCAAGCCAUGGAAGCUGGGGGUGCCUGAAGUCGGUGACCGCAAGGAGCUGCCUAGGGUAAACUAGUAACUAGGCU